rnacentral:lncRNA from 1 species
ACUUUAUCAAGUGCGUUGAGCAAUGUAAGUAUUAAGAUAACAUUUUCAAAUGAAAAAGCCCUGAAAUUUACAAAGAAUAUCCAUUUGUCUUCUUCCAUGUUUCAGUGAGAGAACAGCAACGGUGCACACGGGCGGAACUUGCCCCGGAUCGGUCUGGCUUCUCCUAUCAGACUUUCCCUAUGGUUUUCCAAAGCUAGAGCAGACUUCCAUUCUUCCUGUGGUGCACCUUGAUUUAACCACAAGUAUGCUUUCAAGGCAUGGAAUACCUCUCUGAAACUACUGUGACCAUCCUAUCACCAAGUCUGUCCCCACACUGUCCACAAAUGCUUGGACCAGAAUAAUUCCAAGUGACCAAAGAGAACUGGCUACCACCACCUGCAAAGACAGUGCUCCACUGUGACGGAACUACUAGACUGUUGGGA